rnacentral:rRNA from 1 species
AGAAUCAACGCUGGCGGCGUGCCUAACACAUGCAAGUCGAACGAGAAAGGGGUAGCAAUACCCUGAGUAAAGUGGCGCACGGGUGAGUAACACGUGACUAACCUACCCUGGAGUGGGGGGAUAACUGAGGGAAACCUUAGCUAAUACCGCAUAAUACCUACGGGUCAAAGGAGCAAUUCGCUUUGGGAGGGGGUCGCGGCCGAUUAGUUAGUUGGCGGGGUAAUGGCCCACCAAGACGAUGAUCGGUAUCCGGCCUGAGAGGGCGCACGGACACACUGGAACUGAAACACGGUCCAGACUCCUACGGGAGGCAGCAGUGGGGAAUUUUGCGCAAUGGGGGAAACCCUGACGCAGCAACGCCGCGUGGAGGAUGAAGUACUUCGGUACGUAAACUCCUUUCGAUCGGGACGAUUAUGACGGUACCGAGAGAAGAAGCCCCGGCUAACUUCGCGCCAGCAGCCGC